UGGGGAAUAUUGCACAAUGGGGAAAGCCCUGAUGCAGCGACGCCGCGUGAGUGAAGAAGUAUUUCGGUAUGUAAAGCUCUAUCAGCAGGGAAGAAAGAAAUGACGGUACCUGAGUAAGAAGCCCCGGCUAACUACGUGCCAGCAGCCGCGGUAAUACGUAGGGGGCAAGCGUUAUCCGGAAUUACUGGGUGUAAAGGGAGCGUAGACGGUGAUGUAAGUCUGGAGUGAAAAGGGCGGGGGGCCCCAAACCCCCGGCAGCUGCUCUGGAACUAUAUGACUGGAGUGCAGGAGUGGUAAGCGGAAUUCCUAGUGUAGCGGUGAAAUGCGUAGAUAUUAGGAGGAACACCAGUGGCGAAGGCGGCUUACUGGACUGUAACUGACGUUGAGGCUCGAAAGCGUGGGGAGCAAACAGGAUUAGAUACCC
rnacentral:rRNA from 1 species